GGGAGCGCGAGCGUGAAGAAACCGGCCGCCAUCUUACGGUGCUCACAACAGUCGCCGCAGCGAUCAUGGCAACUUCUUGCAAUUACGGUCGUACCAACCGUACUGGCAAGGUUACAGGGCCUAAAUUUAUACAGGUGAGUCACUCUUUAUCGAGGAAUAAAUAGGCGUUCAUUCUGUAUAUUUAGUUGACCAUUAUGAAGUGUUUUUUUGCCCAAAACGAGCACUGGAUGCAGGUUGCUUGAUCGCUCUUCCGACGUUCAAUGGAGCACACUUGCAUUUUACCCGGCGGCAAAUACAGUUUGAGUGCAUAAUAUGCUUGAAAGAACACGUUACACUACACAGGUAGUGUUGUCAUCAAUAUAUGUGCGAGCACUCGAGCGCAUUUUUGCAUGCAUUGCUAGCAUGGUACAUGGUGUUCUCUGCGGAAGCAAGUGCCACAUUCAUUUCUUUGAAUUACCUUCGCGCACAAGUUCGGUAUUACGUCAUAAUGAGACCACGAUUGUCACCUUUUUUCAUGUAUUGGUAUUGUUUUGUGCCUUGGUUUGAUUUGUGACAAAGAAUCCUACGUAGCGGUGGUGUGGCGCGACUUGAAUAACGCCUUUGUCUGAGCUGUAUCGUCAGCUUGUUACGAUAGUAAUAAUUUGUAGCGUGUCGUGCUACUUGUAGCAGUUUUUAAGGCAAAAGUGGUCUCUCAAUACAGGUUUUGUCAUGAGGGCUACCCAGUGAAUUAUCUGUGCAGUGUGAUACGGCUGGGUGUACAGGUUACUUCACAGCUGCCUCAACAUACUCAAGAAAUGGGUGCAGAACCUGCGUAAUGCCCACAAAGUUUGACUACCACAGCACCUCCAUAAAGUAAAGGCAUAUGUGUCACAUGGGAUUUUUAAAGGCAUUCACAGUAUAUAAUACCUUGUAUGAACUGUUGUUGAUCUAAGCAGCCUCUACAGUACACUCUCAGAAAUUAAAACUUGUCAGGGAACUGUGAUAAUUGUUCCAGUUAAUAGGCAUGCAUAUGUACGCUAUAAGAAAAUUAUUUAUUGAGAAUGCACUACUGUUGAUCACACUCGUGCAGCUGUAGGUUUACCUUCGGCCUCUUGGAACUCUUUUUUUUAGUUGCCUUAGCUGCAGGAGGAGUGUCAUCGAGCAUGUCAACUACUUGCAGAAAUAUUGACGUAUUUAAGAUUAUGACACAGUUUGAAGGGUUUCAAUUCAGGAAAUUUGCAGUGGCAGGGCCUGCCAGAGUGAAACCUACUGAAUAUUUUAUGGUGUCGAAGUGGCAGUUCCUCCAGGAUAGGAAUAUCUUAGAUGGGAGCAAAAAGCUUGAAAUUAACAAAGUGUUGUUUGCAUUAAGCAAUUUGUAAUACACUGAACACAUAGGCAGCAAAACAAAAAUUUAAAAUUCAGCAUGUAUGAAAAUUGGGUGCAACAAAUUUGCAUAGUGUACGUGUACAUUGUCAUUCCUGAGAUAUAUAUUGUCAUUGCAGGGAGGUCACAAAACAAUAAAUGUAUUGUUUUGUCACUUCCCUGCACAUUCAUUGUAUCUUGAAAUGCGUAUAUGCCAGAAUAAAUGUUGAACUUGAAAAUUGUA